UACGUAGGGGGCAAGCGUUGUCCGGAUUUAUUGGGCGUAAAGAGCGUGUAGGCGGCCAGGUAGGUCAGCUGUGAAAACUCGAGGCUCAACCUCGAGACGUCGGUUGAAACCACCUGGCUAGAGUCCGGAAGAGGAGAGUGGAAUUCCCGGUGUAGCGGUGAAAUGCGCAGAUAUCGGGAGGAACACCAAUUGCGAAGGCAGCUCGCUGGGACGUAACUGACGCUGAGACGCGAAAGCGUGGGGAGCAAACAGG
rnacentral:rRNA from 1 species